rnacentral:rRNA from 1 species
UACAGAGGGGGCAAGCGUUGUUCGGAAUUAUUGGGCGUAAAGGGCGCGUAGGCGGUGCGGUAAGUCUUUUGUGAAAUCUCCGGGCUCAACUCGGAGUCUGCAGGAGAAACUGCCGUGCUUGAGUGUGGGAGAGGUGAGUGGAAUUCCCGGUGUAGCGGUGAAAAUGCGUAGAUAUCGGGAGGAACACCUGUGGCGAAAAGCGGCUCACUGG